GUAGAAUUGCCAAGUGAUCAACCCGAAAUGGGAAAAGGCUUCCAUCUUUAAGGUGCAUAAAGCUAUAGAUUUCUUCACUCAUACUAAAUCACUCGCUUCAUCAACAUUUAGACAUAAUUUCCACUCGUUGAAACUCAUCGAACACCAUAACAUACCAAACUUCCAACUCUACAUUCUAAUUGUAUGCCGCCAAACUUCAUGUCAAAC
rnacentral:lncRNA from 1 species